rnacentral:lncRNA from 1 species
UCUUUUAACAAUCAUUAACUAUUCAAGAUUGCUUUAAAAUAAGUAUAAUUUGACUAUUGUGCCCUUAUAAUAUAAAAUAACCAAAUUACAUGAUGAAGUCACAGAUAUGAGCCCCAAAAAAAGCCCAUAAAUGUUGGGUCUGGUUAAGGGCCUUUGCAGAAAAUAUAUAAAUUAAAAAAAAUUCAAAUUGAAAAGAAAAAAUAAAAGAAAACACAAAAUAACAAAAUCAAAAUAGCUGAUCCCUAAAGCUAAAAGCAUCCUCACUCCCUGACGCCCACGAGCCGCGCAACAAUUGCAGUCAUCAUCGUCUAAGUUUUAGAUUAUUGGAGAUUUGUCUAAUCGGAAUACUGAAUUUCCAACUCUAUACUCGCCGCCAAUAGCACAAAUUUCUUCAUAAUUUGCAUUUCUUCUAAAAAUAAAAAGAAAAAAGAAACAUCUCUAAAAUUAAAUGUUGUGCAGUGUGCACUUCCCACACAUCUCUCAAGCAGCCAUCACCCCACCGAUCAAAACUAGCCCGGCAGCAGCACCCACACGACCAAUCAUCACCGGAUCCAGCAGCAGCCACCAACUAACCCGGCCAGCACAACGCCACGAUUCACGAAGCCACCGCAGCAGCAGCAGCAGCCAACAUUGAACCCAGCCACUCGAAGCCGUGCGAAUCAGCACCAACCACUCGAACCCACUAAGUGUAGAUCAUCGCCUGAAGUUUUUCAGCCGAACAUUGGUCCAUGGAUAUCAAACUUUUGCAUUUUAUGACGGUUAUUAAAGAAUCCAAUGAAAUCAACCUCGAAAAGGGCUGAAGUGUAUUCAUCUUUUGUUUAGUUGAGACGUUUUUGCAUUUUUUUAUUAAAAUUUAUUUUUAAAAAAUUUGAGGAAGCCAGGCCCGGCUCAAGCCCGGUCCACCUAAUUUUGGAUGAGUUUUUAAAGUGCCUGGACUUAU